rnacentral:rRNA from 1 species
AGGAUGAACGCUGGCGGCGUGCCUAACACAUGCAAGUCGAACGUCCUGUCUCGCAAGAGGCAGGGAGUGGCGGACGGGUGAGUACCACGUGGGUUAUCUACCGUGAGGUGAGGAAUACCGGCGAGAAAUCGCCGACAAGACCGCAUAGCCUCGGUGCAAGCCGAGCAAAGCUCUUUCGAGAGAGGGAGCGCCACACGAGGAGCCUGCGCCCGAUUAGCUAGCUGGUGGAGUAACGGUUCACCAGGGCGACGAUCGGUAGCUGGUCUGAGAGGACGAUCAGCCACACUGGGAUUGAGAACGGCCCAGACUCCUACGGGGGGCAGCAGUGAGGAAUUUUCGUCAAUGGGGCAACCCUGAACGAGCAACGCCGCGUGCAGGAAGAAGGUUUUCGGAUCGUAAACUGCUUUUCGUCGGGGAAGAGAACGGACGGUACCCGAGGAAUCAGCCCCGGCUAACUACGUGCCAGCAGCCGCGGUAA